UCCAGUAGUACACUUCCAUGAUUCUAUGAAAAUAGGGUGCACCAUGGGUAGGCAUUCCACUGUGCCCUAUGACACUGUCCAGCACAAUGCUCUAUCUGUUUCCCGGCUAAGGAGAAAGGCUGUCAAAAGGGGGAACAAAAUCAGGCUUGAAUUCAGUCUGAGACAUAGCCAAGGGAAAAAAACUAACAAACCCCAUAACAGUGCUUUGGAACUGAGAACACUCUGGUCUGAACAUCUGCCUUGUCCCUGUGGCCCUCACUACAGCAUUUGAACGUCUUAAAAUUAUUGGUGGUCCCUUCUUCUGCCUUUGAGGAGGAACAAGUGGUUUCUCUUGGAACAUAUUUCUUUUUUAUACGUCUGGAAUGCCAAGAGAAAGAAACACAUCUUGCAGUUAGCUCUGUAAAAUGCGGUGCGCCCUGCUCAGAGUUGUCUGAGCAGCUACUGAAUUGUCCUGCUAUUAAGAAAGUUCAGCCUCUUUUCUGCUGUCGCAUGUGACCCUCUUGAGGGCAACAGCUUCAUGUUUCCAGUGGAAUGUUGCUGUCAUGGUGAUGGAGGGGUGUAUGAUCUCUUUAGUAGCCAGGCAACAUCCCUCUGAGUAUUUGGAUAUGAUGACGAAGACUUCGAAAACGACUCUGCAGUCAAGGUGCGUGGGAGGAGGGGUGGCUCAUGUGGAGAGUGACGUGCUGGAGUGGAGACCCGCUGCAGCAUAAGCUGGAGCCUGCCAAAGACGCUGUCUCGGUACAUUGCAAGCCCAGUUUCUGCUGGUGUCCAUUCAAGAACUGUGUGGCAGUGUGAGGGAGCUGUGUCUGGAAGCCUUGAGAAGAAGCCCCUGUGACAGGCUGGAGGGGAGCUACACCCAGCCACGGUGAGAAGUGUAAGAGAGCCCGUGAGCAGGGCAAAGGAGAAGACCAGGACAGAAAGUGAACAAGAACUCCAUACAACACUGAGCGGGGAGUCUACCACGGCCCCACGAGAAGCAGUGGACACCUUCUGACAUCCGAAGGAAGGCAUCCCACAACUAUCCAGUGAUGAAGAGAGGGGAAGUGGAGCACAGGAAGAGCCAGGAGCUAUUCUCGCUCCAGCCAAUUGUGACCUAGCCAAACCCAGAGGUGGAACCCACUGAGAAAGGGGAAGAUAAUUCUGCUAACACCUGCAGCCUGAGCAAGUGCUGGGAUCUGGCCUGCCAGCAUCACGAAAAUACAUAUACCAAUACCCAAGCAUCCAAAGUAAAUACAUGGAAGAGAAACAAGAAUGCGCACAAUGCUCCAACCACUGGGCACUCAUACCGCAUAAUUUUGCAGGAAGAACAUUGCUCAUUUUCUGACAGCAUGUUUUGCACUCAAACACGCUAUUUUUGUUUCUGAGGCCACAUGUCCAAAACAAAUUACUCGCAGACCAGGCUUUGUUUCAGGAGAAAGGAAAAUGGUAUGUUGCUGGCUCCAAGGGCUUGUGGGCUCACAAAGCUAGCCAGUGAGCACAGCUCUUCUCUGCUUGCAGAGACUCUGGUUUAUCUUAUCCUCGCCCUCCCUUUUGUCCUUGGGCACAAUUUCAGUGAUGUUCUCAAAUAAGGACUGUUUGAUCUUUGCACAUUUCCAGGAAUAGCUGACUUGUUUCACCUGCUGCAAUAAAACAACUUCCAAAGCCAUUCUGCAGUUAGCUCUGGGGCCACCAUCACUGUGAAGAAGUCAGGAGCAUAUGGCCUGGAGUGACCAGGAGACAUCUCAAGCAAAAUGACCUGUGCCUAGCGGUCGUGCAGGGGCAGAGCAAGGGCAGUCCACUUCAGCAGUGUUACUGAGCAUGCUCAGUCUGUGUAUGCAUGCUCAGUACAAGCAAAACAGUGAAUUGGUCGGGGGUGGGGCGGGCAUGUGACCCUGCAUUGCUCUCCGUGCAUCACCUGUGAUCUCAAGCAUCUGCAUUCUAUGGGUCUUUGACAGCUUGCCUCAGGAAACCUUGAUCACCAUUGCCUGUAAUGACUUUAGCAGUGUUCUCGACUCUGUCCGUUGUCACAUGGGCACCUCGAUGCUGUUCAGCCCUGCCACUUCUCGUAGCUACCAGGUUUGCAAAUCAUCCCCCUACACUCAGGCGAUGUCUAGACUGAAGAGUUUUUGCGCAAAAACUUGUGGAGCAUCCACACUGCAAACACGUUUUUGCGCAAGAAAAUGUACAGAAAAUCAGAAGAGGAGAGGGGUUUUUGAGCAAUAGUUAUUCCUCUUCCUACGAGGAAUAAGCCUUUUUGCACAAGAGCUCUUGUGUAAAAGGCUGUGUGUGGACGGGAAAUAGGUUUUUUUUUCUGCAAAAACAGCCUAUAGAAAGAAGCACAGGUGCCCUGGUGGCCA